UAUCUUAUGAUGACAAUUUUAAUCCGAGAAACUCGUGCGGAUGACCAAACAAAUUAAACCAAAAGGAUUCUGAGAAUUA